UACGUAGGGUGCAAGCGUUAAUCGGAAUUACUGGGCGUAAAGCGUGCGCAGGCGGUUUUGUAAGUCUGAUGUGAAAUCCCCGGGCUCAACCGGGGAAUUGCAUUGGAGACUGGAAGGCUAGAAUCUGGCAGAGGGGGGUAGAAUUGAACGUGUAGCAGUGAAAUGCGUAGAGAUGUGGAGGAACCCCGAUGGCGAAGGCAGCCCCCUGGG
rnacentral:rRNA from 1 species